rnacentral:rRNA from 1 species
UGAGGAAUAUUGGUCAAUGGGCGGGGAGCCUGAACCAGCCAAGCCGCGUGAGGGAAGAAGGUACAGCGUAUCGUAAACCUCUUUUGUCAGGGAACAAAGGCGGGGACUAGUCCCCGGAUGAGGGUACCUGAAGAAAAGCAUCGGCUAACUCCGUGCC